rnacentral:rRNA from 1 species
GCAAGUCGAACGAGAUCUUUCGGGAUUUAGUGGCGGACGGGUGAGUAACGCGUGAGGAUCUGCCUAAAGGACCGGGACAACAGUGGGAAACCGCUGCUAAAACCGGAUGUGCCGAGAGGUGAAAUAUUAAUAGCCUUUAGAUGAACUCGCGUCUGAUUAGCUAGUUGGUGGAGUAAUGGUUUACCAAGGCGACGAUCAGUAGCUGGUCUGAGAGGACGAUC